rnacentral:lncRNA from 1 species
AUACCAAAAGCAAUGUUGAUUUCUGAGGAGAGAACAAAAAUCAUGAAGGCCUCUUCCAUGGAGUUCACAGAUUUCUGUGUAGAGGACGAAACACCACUUUGUAAUGCUUAUUUGUUGGUAAUUAUGGUGGACCUCUUGAGCACUCUGAACUGUGAGAAUUCGCAGCUUUGGACCAUUAAGCUAGAAGACCUCUGAAGAACUGUUGCUAUCUGUACCAAAUUAAGAACAGCGUAUUUCAAUGCUGCUCAAAGUUUAAUGUACACACGAAUCACCUGGGAGCCGUAUCACAAAGGCUGAUUCUAAUUGAGAAAGUGUGGGGAGGGACGUGAGAUUUGACAUUUUAUUUUAUUUCUAUUUAUUUAUUUAUUUAUUUAUUUAUUUUUUGUGAUGGAGUCUCACUCUGUCGCCCAAGCUGAAAUGCAGUGGCAUGAUCUCAGCUCACUGUAACCUCUGCCUCCCAGGUUCAAGUGAUUCUCCUGCCUCAGCCUCCUGAGUAGCUGAGAUUACAGGCAUGCACCACCACAUCUGGCUACUUUUUUUUAUUUUUGUAUUUUUAGUGGAGACGGGGUUUCACCGUGUUGGCCAGUCUGACCUGGAACUCCUGACUUCAGAUGAUCUGCCCACCUCAUCCUCCCAAAGUGCUGGGAUUACAGGUGUGAGCCCUUGUGCUCAGCCAGAUUUAGCAUUUUAAACGAGUUCCCAGCUGAUGCUGAUGCUGCUGGAUCAAGGACCACGCUCUGAGAAGCAAGGGUUUAUGGGGCUUUCUUGGACUGCACUCUGGCCAAACGCAGUGACUCCAGUAAGGCGUGGCCUUUGCAACCACAGGAAGAGCAGAAGUCUGCUGUGGAGCCGCCUGCAUCCAAGUCCAGCUCUGCUGCUUGAUGGGAAUGGGCCCUUGGGACAGAUUCUUCUCUUGGAAUCUGAGUGUUCUCAGAGACCAGGAACUGCAUUUGGAUUUAAAGAAACAAAACUUUCUGGCACCUACUGUGAUCCAGCCACCUCUUGGGAUGCACACGUUUCUCUUCAACUGCGUGAUGUGAACUGCGUCACAUGCUCUUUAUUUCCAAGAAGGCCAGCCCUUCUCUUCAGCCACAUGGUAUUUGGACAGCCUAGGCUCUAUCCCUGCAGGGAAAGCUCAAUCAGCCAGCUGAGCCAGUCACUGAACAACCAAGUCUGGUAA